rnacentral:rRNA from 1 species
GAUUGAACGCUGGCGGCAGGCCUAACACAUGCAAGUCGAGCGGAUGAAGGGAGCUUGCUCCUGGAUUCAGCGGCGGACGGGUGAGUAAUGCCUAGGAAUCUGCCUGGUAGUGGGGGAUAACGUCCGGAAACGGGCGCUAAUACCGCAUACGUCCUGAGGGAGAAAGUGGGGGAUCUUCGGACCUCACGCUAUCAGAUGAGCCUAGGUCGGAUUAGCUAGUUGGUGGGGUAAAGGCCUACCAAGGCGACGAUCCGUAACUGGUCUGAGAGGAUGAUCAGUCACACUGGGACUGAGACACGGUCCAGACUCCUACGGGAGGCAGCAGUGGGGAAUAUUGGACAAUGGGCGAAAGCCUGAUCCAGCCAUGCCGCGUGUGUGAAGAAGGUCUUCGGAUUGUAAAGCACUUUAAGUUGGGAGGAAGGGCAGUAAGUUAAUACCUUGCUGUUUUGACGUUACCAACAGAAUAAGCACCGGCUAACUUCGUG